AAAUGAGGGGCAAAAUCUGUGUU
rnacentral:miRNA from 1 species